GUGGGGAAUCUUGCGCAAUGGGCGAAAGCCUGACGCAGCCAUGCCGCGUGAAUGAUGAAGGUCUUAGGAUUGUAAAAUUCUUUCACCGGGGACGAUAAUGACGGUACCCGGAGAAGAAGCUCCGGCUAACUUCGUGCCAGCAGCCGCGGUAAUACGAAGGGGGCUAGCGUUGCUCGGAAUUACUGGGCGUAAAGGGCGCGUAGGCGGACAGCUUAGUCAGAGGUGAAAGCCCAGGGCUCAACCUUGGAAUUGCCUUUGAUACUGGCUGUCUUGAGUUUGGGAGAGGUGAGUGGAACUCCGAGUGUAGAGGUGAAAUUCGUAGAUAUUCGGAAGAACACCAGUGGCGAAGGCGACUCACUGGCCCAAUACUGACGCUGAGGCGCGAAAGCGUGGGGAUCAAACAGGAUUAGAUACCCUUGUAGUCC
rnacentral:rRNA from 1 species